CUUUCUCUGACACAAAAUAAAUGAAUCUGAUUAUCAGAAAAUCAAUUCAUUAACUAACUGUCAGGGUUCUCUGUUUGGUCGGUGUUCUAACUCUGCUACACAGGUGGUUCUAGUUGGCUGGGGGGCGUGGCCCACACCUGCAGCUCGUUUGGAGCAGUGUUCACUGGCGUCUUAAGGAUGACUCAGACAGAUGGAAGACGCCAGAGCCUUACCCAGUCGUGAUACGACGUGGCCUCUGACCAGAUCUUGGAAACCUGACCUUGUGAGUUUUUUCGUAUCUCUGAAAUCUUUUUGGAUCUCCUGCUUUUUCUUUGUUUUUGUUUGGACUACUCACCCGCCUUGACGUCUCACUCGAGGAACCAGCUCCUAAGAAUCCCUGAAGCUCAGAUAUUGCUCUGGCGCUCCCCCUCUUACUCACUUGGUGAUACCAAGCCGGGCCUGAGAUUCCCUUCCCUGGAUUCUGCUGGUUCCUCCGCACUCUGGUUGCUCCUUCUGCCACUACUGCCUGCCGUGGCUCGCUCAGGAUCCCUCGCCGACUUACCAUCAGUCCGCCCUCCAGCCGCUAACCACCAGCUAUCCACCGUGAGCAUUCGGUCUCAGAGUUCCCUCGUCACUACUUCCCCAGUUAGGUUUGCCCAACUAUAUGUUUCUCCAGCACUGACGUUCAGACCUCAACAGAUCCCAUCAUCAGAAUCGACCUCUGUAGUCUGAAUUUAAAUAAAACAUCUUAAACUGCG